rnacentral:rRNA from 1 species
CAUCCUCCAAGGCUAAAUACUCCUGACUGACCGAUAGUGAACCAGUACCGUGAGGGAAAGGCGAAAAGAACCCCGGCGAGGGGAGUGAAAAAGAACCUGAAACCGUGUACGUACAAGCAGUGGGAGCACCCUUUGGGGUGUGACUGCGUACCUUUUGUAUAAUGGGUCAGCGACUUAUAUUCUGUAGCAAGGUUAACCGUAUAGGGGAGCCGUAGGGAAACCGAGUCUUAACCGGGCGUUAAGUUGCAGGGUAUAGACCCGAAACCCGGUGAUCUAGCCAUGGGCAGGUUGAAGGUUGGGUAACACUAACUGGAGGACCGAACCGACUAAUGUUGAAAAAUUAGCGGAUGACCUGUGGCUGGGGGUGAAAGGCCAAUCAAACCGGGAGAUAGCUGGUUCUCCCCGAAAGCUAUUUAGGUAGCGCCUCGUGAAUUCAUCUCCGGGGGUAGAGCACUGUUUCGGCUAGGGGGCCAUCCCGGCUUACCAACCCGAUGCAAACUGCGAAUACCGGAGAAUGUUAUCACGGGAGACACACGGCGGGUGCUAACGUCCGUCGUGAAGAGGGAAACAACCCAGACCGCCAGCUAAGGUCCCAAAGUCAUGGUUAAGUGGGAAACGAUGUGGGAAGGCCCAGACAGCCAGGAUGUUGGCUUAGAAGCAGCCAUCAUUUAAAGAAAGCGUAAUAGCUCACUGGUCGAGUCGGCCUGCGCGGAAGAUGUAACGGGGCUAAACCAUGCACCGAAGCUGCGGCAGCGAACGUAUCACCCAAGACAACUUUACGGAGUUGACGAUUGACGGAGCGAAGCGACGUCAAAGCGUUCAUUAAAGUCGAGUUGGCUUAGGGAUACGUUCGUUGGGUAGGGGAGCGUUCUGUAAGCCUGUGAAGGUGUGUCGUGAGGCAUGCUGGAGGUAUCAGAAGUGCGAAUGCUGACAUAAGUAACGAUAAAGCGGGUGAAAAGCCCGCUCGCCGGAAGACCAAGGGUUCCUGUCCAACGUUAAUCGGGGCAGGGUGAGUCGACCCCUAAGGCGAGGCCGAAAGGCGUAGUCGAUGGGAAACGGGUUAAUAUUCCCGUACUUGGUGUUACUGCGAAGGGGGGACGGAGAAGGCUAUGUUGGCCGGGCGACGGUUGUCCCGGUUUAAGCGUGUAGGUGUGUGUUCCAGGUAAAUCCGGUUCACUUUAACACUGAGGCGUGACGACGAGGCACUACGGUGCUGAAGCAACAAAUGCCCUGCUUCCAGGAAAAGCCUCUAAGCAUCAGGUAACAUCAAAUCGUACCCCAAACCGACACAGGUGGUCAGGUAGAGAAUACCAAGGCGCUUGAGAGAACUCGGGUGAAGGAACUAGGCAAAAUGGUGCCGUAACUUCGGGAGAAGGCACGCUGACACGUAGGUGAAGUGAUUUACUCAUGGAGCUGAAGUCAGUCGAAGAUACCAGCUGGCUGCAACUGUUUAUUAAAAACACAGCACUGUGCAAACACGAAAGUGGACGUAUACGGUGUGACGCCUGCCCGGUGCCGGAAGGUUAAUUGAUGGGGUCAGCGCAAGCGAAGCUCCUGAUCGAAGCCCCGGUAAACGGCGGCCGUAACUAUAACGGUCCUAAGGUAGCGAAAUUCCUUGUCGGGUAAGUUCCGACCUGCACGAAUGGCGUAAUGAUGGCCAGGCUGUCUCCACCCGAGACUCAGUGAAAUUGAACUCGCUGUGAAGAUGCAGUGUACCCGCGGCAAGACGGAAAGACCCCGUGAACCUUUACUAUAGCUUGACACUGAACAUUGAGCCUUGAUGUGUAGGAUAGGUGGGAGGCUUUGAAGCGUGGACGCCAGUCUGCGUGGAGCCGACCUUGAAAUACCACCCUUUAAUGUUUGAUGUUCUAACGUGGACCCGUAAUCCGGGUUGCGGACAGUGUCUGGUGGGUAGUUUGACUGGGGCGGUCUCCUCCUAAAGAGUAACGGAGGAGCACGAAGGUUGGCUAAUCCUGGUCGGACAUCAGGAGGUUAGUGCAAUGGCAUAAGCCA